UAUACAUGCAGAAUUGGUAAGAUUAUCUACUUAAAAUAGCUUAAUUUGAUAUUAAAGUUAUACUUACUAACUAGGUAACCUACAUUACUACGAGCUACAUCUAAACGAACAUUAACAGUGCAGUGCCCAUAACGAUUGUGCUGAGGUCACUAUAUACCCUCGAAAGUUGCCUACAUCAAAGCGCAAAUUACGGAAUUCGAACUCAUAAGACUGAAAGGUUAGGAAAAUAGACAUUUGACCGACAUCAGACUGACAUUUGAGCAGGAAAGGGAACUAAACGUAAGUAAAAUUACUGAAAAACUUA
rnacentral:lncRNA from 1 species